GACUGCAAGUCCUAUGAGUUUUAGUGUAAUAAUUGCAGGAUGCUGUAAUAUUAUUAUAUUAUAUCUUACAGGCCAUCCAGAGCAAACAUAUUCUGCAUCUGCUUCUUCCAUCUCUCCAGUAAAUGAGAAUGCUGAGAGAGAGAAUCUGAGCUAUGCUGCACUUAAUUUCCCUACAAGGAAAUCCAAGAGACGAGAAACUCAAAGAGACACAACAACAAAUGUGGUAUACUCCUCCGUAAGUGCUCAGAACUGAACAUCUACUGGAGUCAAUCGUAUCUGAAUUGUAUUCUGACAAGAUUUUAUCUACAUGCAUUUACUCAUGAUAGCCAAAUAUGUCUCUGCUUAGUCAGACUGGAAUCCAACUGUAGUGUGAAAUUAAAUAUGCAAAUUCAUCCACUGUGCAUCGAUUAUUACUGGUGUUUAUUUUGUACUGGGAGGAGUUUUAGAUGUUGAAUGAGUCCUGAAGUCCUAUAACAUCUCAAUUCACCUCCUGAAGUGGUUUUAUUAAUCAGAGUUGAAUCUGUUUUAAAGGGAACAUAUUAUAUCUCUUUUUACAUGAGUUAGAAUACGUAUAUGGGCUACACAAAACAUGUUCAUGAAGUUAUUUGCACAAAAUCCCCCUCACUCUCAUCAAAGAGAUCUCCUCAGCUCCUAUUCUUUCCAGUUUUACUCACUAUCAGAAUGAGCCAUUUAAGGGCUCUGUCAUGUUUAUUCAAAUGAGCUGUUACUGGCCACGCCCCAUGUUUAUGCUAAGCGUUUACCACACACUAGUGUUAGCUUAUGCUAAAUGACAUCUCCCUCAUCUACUGACUUGCCACAGACACAAGGUACAGAUCCCUCCUUCAGACAAAGUCUGCUGGCUAAUCCUACUGUGUACUUUUUGAGGUUAUCAACCAGCAGACUGAAAUGGCCGAUCUUCAACUGAUCUUGUUGGUGGGGCUCUGGUGGAGGUUGACAGGUGAGGGAUGAUGCCAAGAUGAUUCUAUGCAUGUUUCCUUAUAGUGACAUCACAGUAAGUAAGCCAUCCAAACUGCUCAUAGAAGCAUUUAAUUCUUGAGACCAAACCCUUUUAACUGAUUCACAGAAAACAGAUGGGUGGAUUUUUUAUAGGGGCAGUUGAGAUGCAAUUGGAAAUACAAAAUACACAAAAAGUUGGUUUUGAUAUAAACUUCUUCUAAAAUGUGUUUUUGGUGUGUUUACACCUUCAUGUGGCUUGAUCUUAUUUGUGGCUUGGGCCUGAUAUAAUCCUUUUACUCUAGACACAUAAAGAGACCAGGUGUAAACAGGGUCAUUAAUUAUGUGUUUAAGCCAAAACUUUAGUGCUAAUGGGUUAACUUGGCUUGACUAAAAUAGCAUAACAUUGGUCCUGAUGACCUAAGUCUUUAUAAAGCACAUUUAAAAGCUUUUUUCUUGAUUAAAUAUUGCUAUUACAUUUUUUAAAGUUGUACCCCUCAAUUGAAAUAAAAUGGAAAUAAAGACAUA
rnacentral:lncRNA from 1 species